rnacentral:rRNA from 1 species
GUUGUAUAGUCAAGUAAUUAAGUGCAUGUGGUGGAUGCCUUGGCAGUCAGAGGCGAUGAAAGACGUGAUAGCCUGCGAAAAGCUCCGGGGAGGCGGCAAAUAUCCUUUGAUCCGGAGAUGUCUGAAUGGGGGAACCCACCUACUUUAAGGUAGGUAUUGCAACAUGAAUACAUAGUGUUGCAAGGCGAACGAGGGGAAGUGAAACAUCUCAGUACCCUUAGGAAAAGAAAUCAAUUGAGAUUCCCUCAGUAGCGGCGAGCGAACGGGGAUCAGCCCAUUAAGUUAUGUGUGUUUUAGUGGAACGCUCUGGGAAGUGCGAACGUAGAGGGUGAUAUUCCCGUACACGAAAGGGCACACAUAAUGAUGACGAGUAGGGCGAGGCACGUGAAACCUUGUCUGAAUAUGGGGGGACCAUCCUCCAAGGCUAAAUACUCCUGACUGACCGAUAGUGAACCAGUACCGUGAGGGAAAGGCGAAAAGAACCCCUGUGAGGGGAGUGAAAUAGAUCCUGAAACCGCAUGCAUACAAGCAGUGGGAGCACCUUCGUGGUGUGACUGCGUACCUUUUGUAUAAUGGGUCAGCGACUUAUAUUCAGUAGCGAGGUUAACCGUAUAGGGGAGCCGUAGAGAAAUCGAGUCUUAAUAGGGCGUUUAGUUGCUGGGUAUAGACCCGAAACCAGGCGAUCUAUCCAUGAGCAGGUUGAAGGUUGGGUAACACUAACUGGAGGACCGAACCCACUGUCGUUGAAAAGCCAGGGGAUGACUUGUGGAUAGGGGUGAAAGGCUAAUCAAGCCUGGUGAUAGCUGGUUCUCCCCGAAAGCUAUUUAGGUAGCGCCUCGGACGAAUACCAUAGGGGGUAGAGCACUGUUUCGGCUAGGGGGUCAUCCCGACUUACCAAACCGAUGCAAACUCCGAAUACCUAUGAGUACUAUCCGGGAGACAGACUGCGGGUGCUAACGUCCGUAGUCAAGAGGAAAACAAUCCAGACCGCCAGCUAAGGCCCCAAAAUCAUAGUUAAGUGGGAAACGAUGUGGGAAGGCAUAGACAGCUAGGAGGUUGGCUUAGAAGCAGCCACCCUUUAAAGAAAGCGUAAUAGCUCACUAGUCGAGUCGGCCUGCGCGGAAGAUGUAACGGGGCUAAAACUAUGUGCCGAAGCUGCGGAUGUAUACUUUGUAUACGUGGUAGGGGAGCGUUCUGUAAGCCGAUGAAGGUGUGUUGAGAAGCAUGCUGGAGGUAUCAGAAGUGCGAAUGCUGACGUGAGUAACGACAAAACGGGUGAAAAACCCGUUCGCCGAAAGACCAAGGGUUCCAGUCCAACGUUAAUCGGGGCUGGGUGAGUCGACCCCUAAGGCGAGGCCGAAAGGCGUAGUCGAUGGGAAAAUGGUUAAUAUUCCAUUACUUCUGUGUAAUGCGAUGAGAGGACGGAGAAGGCUAAAUCAGCCUGGCGUUGGUUGUCCAGGUGAAAGGAUGUAGGCAUGUAUCUUAGGCAAAUCCGGGGUACUCUAUGCUGAGAUCUGAUAGCAAGCUGUACUUGUACAGCGAAGUGGUUGAUGCCAUGCUUCCAGGAAAAGUCUCUAAGCUUCAGUUACACAGGAAUCGUACCCGAAACCGACACAGGUGGUCAGGUCGAGUAGACCAAGGCGCUUGAGAGAACUCUGCUGAAGGAACUAGGCAAAAUGGUACCGUAACUUCGGGAGAAGGUACGCUGUUGUUGGUGAUGGAACUCGCUUCCUGAGCUGACGACAGCCGCAGAAACCAGGCCGCUGCAACUGUUUAUUAAAAACAUAGCACUCUGCAAACACGAAAGUGGACGUAUAGGGUGUGAUGCCUGCCCGGUGCUGGAAGGUUAAUUGAUGGGGUUAGCGUAAGCGAAGCUCUUGAUCGAAGCCCCAGUAAACGGCGGCCGUAACUAUAACGGUCCUAAGGUAGCGAAAUUCCUUGUCGGGUAAGUUCCGACCUGCACGAAUGGCAUAAUGAUGGCGGCGCUGUCUCCAGCAGAGGCUCAGUGAAAUCGAAAUCGCUGUGAAGAUGCAGUGUACCCGCGGCUAGACGGAAAGACCCCGUGAACCUUUACUGCAGCUUGACACUGAACUUUGACCUUACUUGUGUAGGAUAGGUGGGAGGCUUUGAAGCUGGAACGCUAGUUCCAGUGGAGCCGUCCUUGAAAUACCACCCUGGUAAUGUUGAGGUUCUAACUCUGUCCCGUGAUCCGGGACGAGGACCGUGUCUGGUGGGUAGUUUGACUGGGGCGGUCUCCUCCUAAAGAGUAACGGAGGAGUACGAAGGUGCGCUCAGCGUGGUCGGAAAUCACGCGUAGAGUAUAAAGGCAAAAGCGCGCUUAACUGCGAGACCCACAAGUCGAGCAGGUACGAAAGUAGGUCUUAGUGAUCCGGUGGUUCUGUAUGGAAGGGCCAUCGCUCAACGGAUAAAAGGUACUCUGGGGAUAACAGGCUGAUACCGCCCAAGAGUUCAUAUCGACGGCGGUGUUUGGCACCUCGAUGUCGGCUCAUCUCAUCCUGGGGCUGAAGCAGGUCCCAAGGGUAUGGCUGUUCGCCAUUUAAAGAGGUACGCGAGCUGGGUUUAGAACGUCGUGAGACAGUUCGGUCCCUAUCUACCGUGGGCGCUGGAAAUUUGAGAGGAUCUGCUCCUAGUACGAGAGGACCAGAGUGGACGAACCUCUGGUGUACCGGUUGUGACGCCAGUCGCAUCGCCGGGUAGCUAUGUUCGGAAGGGAUAACCGCUGAAAGCAUCUAAGCGGGAAGCCUACCUCAAGAUAAGAUUUCCCUAGGACUUUAUGUCCUCUAAAGAGCC